GACGAACGCUGGCGGCGUGCUUAACACAUGCAAGUCGAACGGAAAUGCCCUGCUUUUGUGGGGUGCUCGAGUGGCGAACGGGUGAGUAACACGUGAGUAACCUGCCCUUGACUUUGGGAUAACUUCAGGAAACUGGGGCUAAUACCGGAUAGGAGCUCCUGCUGCAUGGUGGGGGUUGGAAAGUUUCGGCGGUUGGGGAUGGACUCGCGGCUUAUCAGCUUGUUGGUGGGGUAGUGGCUUACCAAGGCUUUGACGGGUAGCCGGCCUGAGAGGGUGACCGGCCACAUUGGGACUGAGAUACGGCCCAGACUCCUACGGGAGGCAGCAGUGGGGAAUAUUGCACAAUGGGCGGAAGACUGAUGCAGCAACGCCGCGUGCGGGAUGACGGCCUUCGGGUUGUAAACCGCUUUCGCCUGUGACGAAGCGUGAGUGACGGUAAUGGGUAAAGAAGCACCGGAUAACUACGUG
rnacentral:rRNA from 1 species